GCCUUCGUGGUGUAGUGGUCAGCAAGCUCGACGCAUAUUCGAGAGGUCAGUGGUUCGAAUCCCAGCGAGGGCA
rnacentral:tRNA from 1 species